rnacentral:lncRNA from 1 species
ACAUGGGUGGAUUCGGCUCUGCCUUUAUAACUCUUCCAAGGCUCAAAGGUGCAAAAAAAGACCGACCUCGUUGAAUGCUUGAUCUUGAAUGCAUUUUAAACAGGCAGUCCAAUAUUUGUAGCAUGUGUCUUACAUGAAACUCCUUCACUUUCGCACGGUCACGUCGCCUUUUGUCUGAUCAGUCAAUCACAGACUCCAGAUUGGGGGCAUUUUGGAAGAUAUGCCAUAAUUCCGGGUGAGCUAAUAGGUACAUCCUCUGUACAUGAACGCGCACUUUAUAUGCAGGAUUGUCCAGCGCACCAAUUAAGCAGCUGUAUUCGGGGGCAUUCCCGCUAGGGCCUCUGCCGCAAGACCCACCUCAAUGAUGAGCUAGCUCUGUCCAUGUCAGUACGUCAAACAUAAAUACGACAGAGAACCCAGCGAUAAACCAUUCUCUUCUGAAUCAGGGGCAGCCGGCCUGUCAUCUCCAUCCUUCUGAACAAGACAUAACAGCUGUCCCUCAAUCCACAUUCAUUAUCGCAUCUUUUUGUACUUGUGAUUUAAGUUACCGGGACAUCUCUCAUUUAUAUAAGUUCUUUUUGCUCCAUAUUGCUCAGCUUUUGAGCGUUCUAAUUCCGAACCUCCUCUAGGCCUCUCCGUUUGUAUCUGCUUGAAGAAAGGUGUUGCAAAGGGUGAACAGACCAUAUUUAUUCUUUCCUGAUCGCGGAAGCCCAUCGCGGAUUCUCAACAUCUAGCCUCUGAUCGACAGUCAAAUCUCCAACUACAACUUCUUCUUUUCGGUGACGGGACUGUCAACCCAGCGUGGCUAGAUAAGGAGGCCACUGAAGGUCCCUUCCAGGAUCAAACCUCGACAAGCCAACACCAGCCUCAUCAAACGAACGACGGAGAGUUACUUAGUCAACUUGGUUCCUCGCAUCAACUCGAAGAACUUUCGAAUCUCGAUUUUAAUGAAGACCUCCCUUCUGAUUUAUCCAUUACCGCCCACAAUUAUAACUCUAGAGCGACUCUAGCAGUUCCCGAGCCUCGCAAGCAGCAUGCACUAGUAAAUUGCAACCACUGCGGACGACAAUUUUCCAAAGGCCAUCACUGGAAUAAACACCGUAGAGCAUACGUAUGUUCUGACACGAGUUGCCAAAGAUACAUUUUCCCUGGUCUGCCUUGUAGCCCUGAACAAGACGACAAGGCAUUCGGAGAUAAUGCUGACCUCCGUCGACAUAUGAUUACCCAUCAAGAUGUCGAUGCAAUUGACAGAGAGAUGGUUCCAUGUCAAAUGGGAAAAUGCGGGGGAAAGCUGAUGAGAAAAGACAAGCUCUCGCGCCAUCAACAGCGAAAACAUAGGUUGGAAAUGUUGUUGUAAGUAGUACGACCUUAGUUGGCGACUCUUUUGUUGUAGGUAUUCAUUCAUUAGAAUUUGGA